ACACACCCUUGAUCAUAGGACUCCACAGCAGGAAGGGAAGCUACUUCGAGUAACCGAGACAAAGUUUCUGUCACAUUUAUUGCUAGUGAUUUAUAAGGAGCCGAGUUUAAACGAUACCAGCUGCAUAACAGGAACUUCGACGAAGUAUUCAAGCAAGCUGACAAAGUUCGCACUUGUACCUGUCAAUCAUUAACACACCCUUGAUCGCAUAGCUGCACAGCAGGACAGAAAACUUCGACAAAGUAUUCAAGCAAGCAGACAAAGAUUGGAACUCAUCUAGUGAGCAGAUAUAUGAUUGUAUGAUAUAUCAAAAUAUUGUUGAAGGAUGGAUGAAGAAGAAAGGUAUGAUUACUGACAUACAAACAACCAAAAA